GUGCACAUUUCAUUGACCUGCUUUCUCUCCUGUAUGUGAGCAGUGUUAUUUCUUAUGUGCUAUACAAAUAAUUGAAGGUUAAUUAGCAGUAUAACUGCUAAGUAGUAAUACUGCCAGUCUCCUUCAGACAAAU